rnacentral:lncRNA from 1 species
AACAAUAGAGAUAUUCGGCCAGCCCAGGAUAGAAGAUGAACAAAAAUUAAAAGAAGAGAUUAGAAGGUUCGGCCAAGAAGAUAGAAAAAGAAAAACAAGUAUGUAGAGAAGAAAUGACACGAAUGGUCAGUUCGUAGGAGUAACCUGAUAAAGAGAUACACGAGUGGUCAAUUUUAGUUUUGACUCUUAGAGAAAAAAGAAAGAAAAAAACCAAAACUCUUAAAAACUAGAGAGAAAAUUUAACACCUACACUGACCAAAACCAAAAUGCAUUACCCCAAACUCCCCCUUAGCCGAAUUACACAAACAAGACUCCUCAAAUGGCACACACAAUCCCCACACUCUAACUUCCUUGAUUCACUCAACCAAUAUUUCCAUAAUCUUCUCCACAACUUACUCCCAUAAUCUUUCCAUGACCAAAUCAACUCCUCAACCCUCAGACUUCUACUACAACACAAACUCUAGCCGCCC